rnacentral:rRNA from 1 species
UACGGGGGGGGCAAGCGUUGUUCGGAAUUACUGGGCGUAAAGGGCUCGUAGGCGGCCAACUAAGUCAGACGUGAAAUCCCUCGGCUUAACCGGGGAACUGCGUCUGAUACUGGUUGGCUUGAAUCCGGGAGAGGGAUGUGGAAUUCCAGGUGUAGCGGUGAAAUGCGUAGAUAUCUGGAGGAACACCGGUGGCGAAGGCGGCAUUCUGGACCGGUAUUGACGCUGAGGAGCGAAAGCCAGGGGAGCAAACGGG